UAGGAGUUCGAGUUAGGAGUUCGAUUUCAGCCCGAUUUCAGCCCUCUGCCCCUCUCUACGCAGCAGUCAAUUUGAGCUUGAUUGGAAGUCGAUUCGGAACAGGCCAUUUGAACUUCUGAAGGUAACAAUGAGUUCUAGUACUACUACUAGUGGGACAACAAAGAAAGAUCAUGCUUGGAAAUGGACUAAACCAAUUCCGGGGGAGUUGAAGUACUUUUUGUGUGCGUUUUGUGAUCAAAAAAAUACCGGUGGCAUUUUCAGAUUCAAGCAGCAUUUAGUUGGCACCCAUAAAGGAAUCAAAGCUUGUCGAAAAGUCCCACCAAAUGUGAAGGAUUGGUGCACUUUAGCACUUAAAAGAAAUGAAGAAGAGAAACAAGCAAGGAUUACGGUGCGUAGGGAGAUAGGGGGAUUGGAGCCACUAGAAGAGGAAGAUGCACCUGUUCAAGCAGUGGAAAAUGUGGCUGCAAGUGAGAGUGGUAGUGCUCAAACUCCACUUGGUGGUGGUUCUACGAGUCAACCGAAGUCAAGAGGACCGAUGGACAAGUUUGUGUCCUCAAAAGCUCGGCAAGCUACAUUGAAUUCUUCAUUCAAGAAAGAAGAAAGACGUAAUGUGUGUAGGGCGAUUGGGCGGUUGUUCUAUACUAGUGCCAUAGCAUUCAAUGUGGCAAAUAAUCCUUAUUAUUUUGCGGCAUUGGAGCAAGUUUCCAAGUACGGCCCCGGUUUUCAACCUCCAACUAGUCAUGAGCUAAGGACUUGGAUUUUGAAGGAAGAAGUUGUAGAUGUUCAAAAAAUGAUGUUAGAGCACAAAAAAGAUUGGAGCCAUUAUGGAUGCACAAUUAUGUCGGAUGGUUGGACGGAUGGAAAAAGUAGGGUUAUACUAAAUUUUUUAGUAAAUAGCCCUAGAGGUACAUGGUUUUUGAAAUCAGUUGAUGCAUCGGAUACAAUUAAAAAUGGGGAGUUGAUGCUCAAUUAUUUGGAUAGUGUUGUGGAGGAGGUAGGGGAGGAGAAUGUGGUCCAAAUAGUUACCGACAAUGCUUCUAAUUAUAAGUGGGCGGGAAAGGAACUUAUGAAGCAUAGAAGCAAAUUGUGGUGAACUCCAUGUGCGGCUCAUUGCAUUGACUUGAUGUUGGAGGAUAUAAGCAAGUUGAAAGUCUUUGAAACUACCAUUCAAAGAGCUAAGCAAAUUGUGAAGUUUAUUUAUGGGCAUACACAAGUUCUUUCCAUUAUGAGAAAAUUCACCGAGAACAAGGAGAUUAUUCGUCCGGCGGUUACAAGAUUGGAAUGAAUGUGGAUGCACAAAACAUAAAGAUGCAAAUGAUGUGAGGAAGUGGAUACUUCAUGAUGGAAAUUUUUGGAAUCAUGUUGCUUAUUGCAUAAAAAGUGUUCUACCACUUGUUUGUGUUUUGAGAGAGGUUGAUUCGGAAGUGAGACCUGCUAUGGGAUUUAUCUAUGAGUUGAUGGAUGCUGCAAAAGAAAAGAUAGCUAAGAAUCUUGGAAAUGUGGAACCAAAGUAUGGUCCAAUUUGGAGGAGAAUAGAUAAUAGAUGGAGUCCACAACUUCAUCAACCAUUGCAUGCAGCGGGUUAUUACUUGAACCCUCAAUUUCGGUAUGAAGAAAACUUUUCAAAUACCGAGCAUGUGAAGCAGGGUUUGGAAGAGUGCAUGGAUAGGAUGCUAGUUGGUGAGGAUCGUAUUAAAGCGGAGAUACAAUUAGACUUAUAUGAGCGAAAGCUCGGUAAGUUUGGAAGUGAAAUGGCCUUGUCUACUAGGAAGAAGCGAUCACCCGUGUUUUGGUGGGAAAAAUAUGGGACACAGACACCGGAGUUGAUGACUUUUGCUAUUCGGGUCCUUUCCCUUACUUGUAGUGCAUCGGGGUGUGAAAGGAAUUGGAGCACUUUUGAAAUGGUAAGUUUUUUAUCACUUCUAAGUUGAAUUGUUAAUGCUAAUAGUUGCUAGCCUAUUGAAUUGUUGCAUUUUGUAUGUUGAUUGUUGAUUGUAGAUUCAUACCAAAAAGAGGAAUAGGCUUGAGCAUAAGAGGUUGCAUGCUUUGGUCUAUGUGAAAUACAAUGUUGCUCUAAGAGAUAGGACUAAGAAAAGAAAUGCCACAAUGAUCGAUCCUAUUGUUGUGGAAGAAAUUGAAUCCGAUGAUGAAUGGAUAACGGAGAUAGAGGAUCCGGUUCUUCCUACUGAUCCUAAUUGGCUUGAGGAUAGAAUAGAAGAUCUAACAUUGAAUGAUGAGGCGGUAAGGAAUGUGCCAAUUGGUACAUACCAAAGUACCCUAAUAGAUAGAGAGCCUACUCCUCGUGAGGCUUCUCCUCCUCGUGAGCCUACUCCUCCUCCCCGUGAGCCUACUCCUACCCGUGAGCCUACUCUUUCUCUUGACGAGCCUAUUGUUUUAUACAAAAGGAAAUCUAGUCAAGCACCAAGUUCAAGUAGAAGAAAGCUUCCAAGGAAAUCAAUGCGUCUUGAAGACAUUGCGGAUGAUGAUAUUAGAACUAAUCCAUAUGAAGAUACUAAUCCUCUCUUUGAGUACCAAGAUGAUGAUAGUGAUGGUGUUGAUAGUGAUGGUGGUGAUAGUUUGGAUGGUGAUCUUCUAGUUGAUGAGGAUGAUGAUUUCCAAGCAUGAAGUAGAUUUCAACAUUUGUUCUUGAUCUUUGGUGUUUGAAGUUUGAACUUUAAAUCCUUGAUUUCAUUUUAUGUUGGUAA